UGGGGAAUUUUGGACAAUGGGCGAAAGCCUGAUCCAGCAAUGCCGCGUGUGUGAAGAAGGCCUUCGGGUUGUAAAGCACUUUUGUCCGGAAAGAAAUCCUUGGCUCUAAUACAGUCGGGGGAUGACGGUACCGGAAGAAUAAGCACCGGCUAACUACGUGCCAGCAGCCGCGGUAAUACGUAGGGUGCAAGCGUUAAUCGGAAUUACUGGGCGUAAAGCGUGCGCAGGCGGUUUGCUAAGACCGAUGUGAAAUCCCCGGGCUCAACCUGGGGAACUGCAUUGGUGACUGGCAGGCUAGAGUAUGGCAGAGGGGGGUAGAAUUCCACGUGUAGCAGUGAAAUGCGUAGAGAUGUGAGGAAUACCGAUGGCGAAGGCAGCCCCCUGGGCCAAUACUGACGCUCAUGCACGAAAGCGUGGGGGAGCAAACAGGAUUAGAUACCCUGGUAGUCCACGCCCUAAACGAUGUCAACUAGUUGUUGGGGAUUCAUUUCCUUAGUAACGUAGCUAACGCGUGAAGUUGACCGCCUGGGGAGUACGGUCG
rnacentral:rRNA from 1 species